UACGUAGGGGGCAAGCGUUGUCCGGAUUUAUUGGGCGUAAAGAGCGUGUAGGCGGCCUGAAAGGUCAGCUGUGAAAACUCGAGGCUCAACCUCGAGACGUCGGUUGAAACCAUCUGGCUAGAGUCCGGAAGAGGAGAGUGGAAUUCCCGGUGUAGCGGGUGAAAUGCGCAGAUAUCGGGAAGAACACCCGUGGCGAAGGCGGCUCUCUGGGACGGUACUGACGCUGAGACGCGAAAGCGUGGGGAGCGAACAGG
rnacentral:rRNA from 1 species